ACAUUGUUUGUCAUAUUUUUGUUCCGAUUUAAUGCACACUACCAUUUUAGUGUAAUGUUUGCCAAUAAUUGUUUCAAAAUGGUAUGAACUUUGGACCAAAAGAAAAAAAAAAGUUAUAUAAACAACAAUUCAAUAGAAAGCCGACAAAAUUAAUUGAAAUUGGUUCGAUUCGGUUAAUUAUUUUAACAGAAAAAAAGCUCAAUUCAACUAACGGUUUAGUGCAAAAUGAACUGCUUAUUUCUCAAGUCAAAACCCGGCAUCCCUUUUGCUGCUUAUUUCUCAUCUUUUGCACCAGAUCUCACUGUUCUACCGUCCAUUCAUCAUAAUUCCACUUCCUUAAUACCCCUAAAACAAAUUAAAACCGUUAGUGCAAAAUGAACUGCAAGUAUCACAGUCUUCCUUUAGUAAAGAUAGUAAUAGAACAAUAUGAAGAAUAAAAAUAACCCAAGGCACGCACAAUAAAAAUGAAUCUUAAAACAGCUCGAUACGAGUGACUGGGAUAGCAAAUCCAUAUCGACAGUUAAAUGCAAAACCAUGAAGUCACAGGAACGGAAGAGAUCUCAACAAGUUCGCAUCAAAAAUAACAUUGAAAUGCUCUCUGAUAACCAACCAACGAACACCAAGCAUACUAAAAAAGAAAUUAUCUAGGACUAAAAAUAGCUACUGGAUGGGAAACAUUGUCCCAUGUCUAGAUAAGCCUUUUUGAAUCGUGUUCAUAUUAUUCAGGUUAAGAUACACAAUCAAGCAACAAUAAACAGAAGACAAUCUCAAUAAGAACAUGGAUGGGACAGUCCACCAUUCUUUGAAAAAGUAUAGUACUACCGGUUAACCAAGAAAAGUAUCCAAUUUUUGGUUUUCUUUUCCUUGUUUCAACUCCGAUCAGACUACUUUCAAACCAGAAUUUGAGAUAAAUACAGGGAACCACACAAGUAAAAGGAAGAAGUACGAAAAGUUACAAACAAGUUGCCUAACCAAGUCAACAGAAAAAUGUACACUUCAACAACAGACUUCUAUGCCAUUUGAAUAAUAGUCCAUAAACUCAACAGUCAAAAACACCAGAAACAAAAAUAAUUACACAAACCCGACAUGAAAGAUCUUCACAUUUUCAUUUAGAAACUCACAGUCUCACAAAUUCUAAGAAAGAAUAGAUCAAGAUUGCAAAGCAAAAGUCUCUGCCCCAUUCCACAAAUUUUUUUUUCAUUUUUUAAAACAUCAAAUUGAACUAUUAUUUAGAAAACAUACGGCAAACAAACAAACAAAAAAAAAAACCAAAACCAUGGCCCAAACAUAAGUCUCUGCCCCAUUCCACCAACAAACACAAGUAAAAUCAGGUUAGACUUUUGAAAACAUUAGAGAAAAUAGUACAAAAAGCUUAAAAAAAUGGUUUUGGUUAUGCCUUAGCUAGUUAACACAAGUAUGAAAACAUCAGGCAGCCUUUUGUUUCUCUUCUCUUUAGCAUGAAUGAAUAUUCUUUGAUAGAACAAUGAAUUAAUAAUAAAUAUAUCAAUACAGAGCAGAGUUUUCUGAUUAUGAAUCAACAAUGCAGAUAUGCUCUCUUUGCUUUGUGGACUACUCUCAGUCAUUCUGUAACUUUAUGAACUUUGAACAAUGGAUCAGGACCAGCAUUUGCAACUCCAUGACACCAUGAUAUUUUACCAUUAAAAUGAGGUUUAAAAUUUUAAUCAAUAUCUUGUGAAGUUUUAUUGAGUGAGAAACAACAUGAGGCAAGAAAAUCUAUCACGUUUAGAUUAAGGAUUUGUUUUACAUCAAUAUGACAUUGAUCAAGAAAGAGAAAAUAAAACAACUAGCAAUGGAGAGACGGUGUAAGCAACAACCUCCUUUUAACGCGACAUUCAUAUUAGACAUUCAUACGAAAUGAAUUGCAGCUCUUUUAACUUCUGUUUCCAGCAGGAAAGAAAACCAGAUUCACUCCCACAGUGUACUCCCCUCUUUGUUAAAAUUUUUCUAAAAAAAUAAAACACCUUUCUAGGCCUUGUAUGUAAGUUAUAACAGUGACAUUCCAAAGGGUGCAGAAGGAAUUAAAAGAGCAAGAAAAAGCUGUGAACUUUUAAAUAUCCUCUCUGUUAUAUUGUUCCAUGCAUCACUAGUAGCAUUCAGAUAAUGACAUCCACCUUCACAUCAAAUCCACCACAAAUUUUUAUUAAAAUAUUCAAAUUCCAAUAUUAUCUUAUUCAUAAAUAUCCUAAUCUGUAUGGUGACCCAUGUCUUUCAGCUUUCUUCUUUUGAUUUGCCUUUUCUAUAUUUGUGUGGAGUCAACCAUUGGGUAGUGAAAUCAGAAUCUAUAUAGAACUUCUUCUUUAUGUGAAAAAUGUGAGAAGCACAAGUUGAACCAACAAUAUUCAGACGGAUCUCUACAGUGAUGAAAAUAAAAUGGGAAAUAGGAAUUCUUACUUGAAAGAGAGUGAACUGCUUUGUUUUAAACAAGAAAAAAAGAGAUGAUCAACUUCUACUUUUGCUAGUUGAGGAAUAUCGGCUGAAUGAGGCGACGGUGGGAAGAUGAAACAGAAAAUAUGGAAAGGGGUUAAAAAGAAGAAUCAAUAUAAUCAGUUUUUGGGCAUCAAAAAAUAGCUAUAUGUAUUUAAACAAACGAACGUACCUUCUCCUGGGUGCCUUUUAAGCUUUUAACCACUGGAGUGUUGCCUCAAAGCCGUAGCAACUAUCUUGAAUGAGAAAUCAAAUUUCUGUUCUUUUCAGCCAAAAGCAAGUUUGUGGGAGAAGACAGUUCCAAAGAACCAGCAGAGGAAGGGAAAGAACGUUUGUGGGAGAAAACGACAGGUUAAUUUGGUCAAUUUCCAGCCAAAAGCACUUCAAGCUGAAGAAAAGGAGAAAUUUUUAGCUUCUCAUCCUUUUCUAACGGUGAAACUUUUUGAAGAAAAGGACUUUUUUCCCUAAAAGUGCUUCUAAAACGGGCAGAAGAACGGGGC
rnacentral:lncRNA from 1 species